AGCUUUGCGCCCUGGCAGUAUCGUAGCCAAUGAGGUUUAUCCGGGGCGCGAUUAUUGCUAAUUGUUCCCUUUGCUCUUUGUUUUUUUUUUUUCUGGACUUUUCCUAUAAAUAGAAUCAUAUGAUAUAUGGUCAUUUUU